rnacentral:rRNA from 1 species
UACGUAGGUGGCGAGCGUUGUCCGGAAUUACUGGGUGUAAAGGGCGUGUAGGCGGGAAUGUAAGUCAGAUGUGAAAUUCCGAGGCUCAACCUCGGCGCUGCAUCUGAAACUGCGUUUCUUGAGUGUCGGAGAGGAAAGUGGAAUUCCCAGUGUAGCGGUGAAAUGCGUAGAGAUUGGGAGGAACACCAGUGGCGAAGGCGACUUUCUGGACGAUAACUGACGCUGAGGCGCGAAAGCGUGGGGAGCAAACAGG